CCUACGGGUGGCAGCAGUGGGGAAUAUUGGACAAUGGGCGAAAGCCUGAUCCAGCCAUGCCGCGUGUGUGAAGAAGGUCUUCGGAUUGUAAAGCACUUUAAGUUGGGAGGAAGGGCAGUUACCUAAUACGUGAUUGUUUUGACGUUACCGACAGAAUAAGCACCGGCUAACUCUGUGCCAGCAGCCGCGGUAAUACAGAGGGUGCAAGCGUUAAUCGGAAUUACUGGGCGUAAAGCGCGCGUAGGUGGUUAGUUAAGUUGGAUGUGAAAUCCCCGGGCUCAACCUGGGAACUGCAUUCAAAACUGACUGACUAGAGUAUGGUAGAGGGUGGUGGAAUUUCCUGUGUAGCGGUGAAAUGCGUAGAUAUAGGAAGGAACACCAGUGGCGAAGGCGACCACCUGGACUGAUACUGACACUGAGGUGCGAAAGCGUGGGGAGCA
rnacentral:rRNA from 1 species